CACGAUACCGCCAAUCGAUGAAUUCGCGAUCAGCGGCAACAUAGUAUAAUAGAUCUAUCUACUGUCUCAUUAAGUAACUAUGACGCGCAUGGUUAUUAAUUUAUUAUAAUAUGCAACGUGGCCCCGAAACACAACUGGCCAUUCAAUACCAAAGAUGCUUGCAUGACGGAAAAGGGAAAGAGAGAACUGAAAAAUGUAAUAUAUUUUACAUCAGGACUUACUUGUCCGAACUAGACGUCGACGAGCGAGCUUUGAGACGACCCAUUUUCAAAGUGACUCUGCCCGUCGCCGUCUUCAAUACGGCAGCGGCUUCUUCUUGAGAAGCAUUCCGUAC